rnacentral:rRNA from 1 species
AUUGAACGCUGGCGGCAUGCCUUACACAUGCAAGUCGAACGGUAACAGGUCUUCGGACGCUGACGAGUGGCGAACGGAUGAGUAAUACAUCGGAACGUGCCCAGUCGUGGGGGAUAACUACUCGAAAGAGUAGCUAAUACCGCAUACGAUCUGAGGAUGAAAGCGGGGGACCUUCGGGCCUCGCGCGAUUGGAGCGGCCGAUGGCAGAUUAGGUAGUUGGUGGGAUAGAAGCUUACCAAGCCGACGAUCUGUAGCUGGUCUGAGAGGACGACCAGCCACACUGGGACUGAGACACGGCCCAGACUCCUACGGGAGGCAGCAGUGGAGAAUUUUGGACAAUGGGCGAAAGCCUGAUCCAGCAAUGCCGCGUGCAGGAUGAAGGCCUUCGGGUUGUAAACUGCUUUUGUACGGAACGAAAAAGCUCCUUCUAAUACAGGGGGCCCAUGACGGUACCGUAAGAAUAAGCACCGGCUAACUACGUGCCAGCAGCCGCCGUAA